UCUCGGGGUUACAGCCUUGCUGAAUUAUUCACCCUUGUCUUUUGCGUACUUCUUGUUUCCUUGGUGGGUUCGCCCACCACUAGGACAAACAUAAACCUUUUGUAAUUGCAAUCAGCGUCAGUAACAAAUUAAUAAUUACAACUUUCAACAACGGAUCUCUUGGUUCUGGCAUCGAUGAAGAACGCAGCGAAAUGCGAUAAGUAGUGUGAAUUGCAGAAUUCAGUGAAUCAUCGAAUCUUUGAACGCACAUUGCGCCCUUUGGUAUUCCAAAGGGCAUGCCUGUUCGAGCGUCAUUUGUACCCUCAAGCUUUGCUUGGUGUUGGGCGUCUUGUCUCUAGCUUUGCUGGAGACUCGCCUUAAAGUAAUUGGCAGCCGGCCUACUGGUUUCGGAGCGCAGCACAAGUCGCACUCUCUAUCAGCAAAGGUCUAGCAUCCAUUAAGCCUUUUUUUCAACUUUUGACCUCGGAUCAGGUAGGGAUACCCGCUGAACUUAAGCAUAUCAAUAAGCGGAGGAA
rnacentral:rRNA from 1 species